AAAAGGCCGAUGAAUAAGGGGAGGGCAAGUCUGGUGUCAGCCGCCGCGGUAAUACCAGCUCCUCGAGUGGUCGGGACGAUUAUUGGGCCUAAAGCACCCGUAGCCGGUUCUGUAGGUCCUCUGUCAAAUCCAACGGCUUAACCGUUGGCCCGCAGAGGAUACCGCAGGACUAGGAGGCGGGAGAGGUGGACGGUACUCGACGUGUAGGGGUAAAAUCCUUUGAUCCGUCGAAGACCACCAGUGGCGAAGGCGGUCCACCAGAACGCGCUCGACGGUGAGGGAUGAAAGCUGGGGGAGCGAACCGGAUUAGAUACCCGGGUAGUCCCAGCCGUAAACGAUGCAAGCUAGAUGAUCCGGUCGCAAAUCGCGAUCGGAGUGUCGCAGGGAAGCCGUUAAGCUUGCCGCCUGGGGAGUACGGUCGCAAGACUGAAACUUAAAG
rnacentral:rRNA from 1 species